GACGAACGCUGGCGGCGUGCUUAACACAUGCAAGUCGAACGGAAAGGCCCUGCUUUUGUGGGGUGCUCGAGUGGCGAACGGGUGAGUAACACGUGAGUAACCUGCCCUUGACUUUGGGAUAACUUCAGGAAACUGGGGCUAAUACCGGAUAGGAGCUCCUGCUGCAUGGUGGGGGUUGGAAAGUUUCGGCGGUUGGGGAUGGACUCGCGGCUUAUCAGCUUGUUGGUGGGGUAGUGGCUUACCAAGGCUUUGACGGGUAGCCGGCCUGAGAGGGUGACCGGCCACAUUGGGACUGAGAUACGGCCCAGACUCCUACGGGAGGCAGCAGUGGGGAAUAUUGCACAAUGGGCGGAAGCCUGAUGCAGCAACGCCGCGUGCGGGAUGACGGCCUUCGGGUUGUAAACCGCUUUCGCCUGUGACGAAGCGUGAGUGACGGUAAUGGGUAAAGAGGCACGGGCUAACUACGUG
rnacentral:rRNA from 1 species